CCCUUAGAUGUUCUGGGCUGCACGCGCGCUACACUGAUGCGAUCAACAAGUUUUUCCUAUGUCGAUAGACACGGGUAAUCUUUUGAACUCGCAUCGUGAUGGGGAUAGAUUAUUGUAAUUAUUAAUCUUCAACGAGGAAUUCCUAGUAGGUGCAAAUCAUCAGUUUGCAUCGAUUACGUCCCUGCCCUUUGUACACACCGCCCGUCGCUGCUACCGAUUGGUUGAUCUGGUGAAUUAUUCGGACUGCCGGCUGAAGGGGUUUCCUCAUCUGCCAGCGGAAAGUCUUGUUAACCCUAUCAACUAGAGGAGGCAGAAGUCGUAACA
rnacentral:rRNA from 1 species